rnacentral:rRNA from 1 species
CUGCUGCCUUCCGUAGGAGUUUGGGCCGUGUCUCAGUCCCAAUGUGGCCGUUCACCCUCUCAGGCCGGCUACUGAUCGUUGCCUUGGUAGGCCAUUACCCCACCAACUAGCUAAUCAGACGCGGAACCAUCGUAUACCACCAGAGUUUUUCACACCGCUUCAUGCGAAGCUGUGCGCUUAUGCGGUAUUAGCACCUAUUUCUAAGUUGUUAUCCCCCAGUAUACGGCAGGUUUUCCACGCGUUACUCACCCGUCCGCCAA